rnacentral:rRNA from 1 species
GACGAACGCUGGCGGCGUGCCUAACACAUGCAAGUCGAACGGGGUAAUGACUUCGGUUAUUACUUAGUGGCGAACGGGUGAGUAACGCGUGAGAAACCUGCCUUUCAGUGGGGGACAACAGUUGGAAACGACUGCUAAUACCGCAUAAUAUAUGUAUCCCGCAUGAGAAACAUAUCAAAGAUUUAUUGCUCAAGGAUGGGCUCGCGGCUGAUUAGCUAGUUGGUGAGGUAACGGCCCACCAAGGCGACGAUCAGUAGCCGGCCUGAGAGGGUGAACGGCCACAUUGGGACUGAGACACGGCCCAAACUCCUACGGGAGGCAGCAGUGGGGAAUAUUGCACAAUGGGGGAAACCCUGAUGCAGCGACGCCGCGUGAGUGAAGAAGUAUUUCGGUAUGUAAAGCUCUAUCAGCAGGGAAGAAGAAAUGACGGUACCUGACUAAGAAGCCCCGGCUAACUACGUG